AGUAGUUCAAUUGGUAGAGCACCGGUCUCCAAAACCGGGGGUUGGGGGUUCGAGUCCCUCCUGGCCUGCCA
rnacentral:tRNA from 1 species